AGAGUUUGAUUAUGGCUCAGGAUGAACGCUGGCGGCGUGCUUAACACAUGCAAGUCGAACGAGGCUUGUCGACGGAAAUUUCGGAUGGAAGACGGCAUGACCGAGUGGCGGACGGGUGAGUAACGCGUGGGGAACCCGCCCCAUUCCGGGGGAUACCAGUUGGAAACGACUGUUAAUACCGCAUAAGCGCACGGGAAGGCAUCUUCCAGUGUGAAAAACUGAGGUGGAAUGGGAUGGCCCCGCGUCUGAUUAGCCAGUUGGCAGGGUAACGGCCUACCAAAGCGACGAUCAGUAGCCGGCCUGAGAGGGCGACCGGCCACAUUGGGACUGAGACACGGACCCAAACUCCUACGGGAGGCAGCAGGUGGGGAAUAUUGCACAAUGGGGGGAACCCUGAUGCAGCGAACCGCCGCGUGAGUGAGGAAGUAUUUCGGUAUGUAAAGCUCUAUCAGCAGGGAAGAAGAUGACGGUACCUGCACAAGAAGCCCCGGCUAACUACGUGCCAGCCGCAGC
rnacentral:rRNA from 1 species